UUCACAUUGAAUAUUAAUCCCACAUUCAUUUUAGUUUUGAUCUUAUUAUUGUUUAAAUAUUCAAUGUACCUUGUUUUUUUUAAAUUUUUUUUUCAUUCAUCUGGUUUGCUGAAAGUUUUAGUAGAUUUUCCAAAUGGCUCACACUGCCUGUAUGUUAAAAGUGUUUGCUGGCUACAUACACAAAUGCUAGUUUGGCUGGCAGCCUAGUUCCAUUUUAAUUCACUCACAAAAUGUGGAAAAUUCUGACAUAAGUGGUCCAGUCUCCUGAACUAGAACUGGGAAAACUCCCUAGCAUCCUAUGAAAAGCCUUCUUUAACUGCUUCUGGAUUAGGCUUCUCUUUAGAAUUCAGCAAUUUAAAGAUGCCCAUGAAGAAUCCCUUUGUAGCUCUUCUGGUGUGGGUACGGGGUAUUCUUUAGUCUUUCUGCAGAGGUUCCUGGUAUGUAAG
rnacentral:lncRNA from 1 species